UACGUAGGGCGCAAGCGUUUGUCCGGAAUUAUUGGGCGUAAAGAGCUCGUAGGCGGUCUGUUGCGUCGGCUGUGAAAACCCGGGGCUCAACCCCGGGCCUGCAGCCGAUACGGGCAGACUAGAGUUCGGCAGGGGAGACUGGAAUUCCUGGUGUAGCGGUGAAAUGCGCAGAUAUCAGGAGGAACACCGAUGGCGAAGGCAGCCCCCUGGGCUGAGAUUGACGCUCAGGCACGAAAGCGUGGGGAGCAAACAGG
rnacentral:rRNA from 1 species